rnacentral:rRNA from 1 species
UACGAAGGGGGCUAGCGUUGCUCGGAAUUACUGGGCGUAAAGGGCGCGUAGGCGGACAGUUUAGUCAGAGGUGAAAGCCCAGGGCUCAACCUUGGAAUUGCCUUUGAUACUGACUGUCUUGAGUUCGGGAGAGGUGAGUGGAAUGCCGAGUGUAGAGGUGAAAUUCGUAGAUAUUCGCAAGAACACCAGUGGCGAAGGCGGCUCACUGGCCCGAUACUGACGCUGGAGGCACGAAAGCGUGGGGAGCAAAC